GUGCUCACUUCAGCCGCACAUAGACUAAAAUUGGAACGAUACAGAGAAGUUUAGCAUGGCCCCUGCGCAAGGAUGACAUGCAAAUUCAUGAAACAUUCCAUAUUUUU